rnacentral:rRNA from 1 species
CAGCGCCACGAGUGGCAAUCGUGUAUUUGGCCUAAAGCGUCCGUAGCCGGAUUUGUAAAUCUUUUGUGAAAUCGUUGCGCUCAACGUAACGGCGUGCAGAAGACACUGCAGAUCUCGAGACCGGGAGGAGAUAGAGGUAUUCUAGGGGGAGCGGUAAAAUGCUAUAAUCCCUGGAGGACCACCAGUGGCGAAGGCGUCUAUCCAGAACGGAUCUGACGGUGAGGGACGAAAGCCAGGGGAGCGAACCGGAUUAGAGACCCGAGUAGUCC